rnacentral:rRNA from 1 species
GACAGAGGGUGCAAACGUUGUUCGGAAUUACUGGGCGUAAAGCGCGUGUAGGCGGCCAUCUAAGUCGGGCGUGAAAUCCCACGGCUCAACCGUGGAAGUGCACUCGAAACUGGAUGGCUAGAGUCCUGGAGAGGAAGGUGGAAUGCUUGGUGUAGAGGUGAAAUUCGUAGAUAUCAAGCGGAACACCGGUGGCGAAGGCGGCCUUCUGGACAGUGACUGACGCUGAGAUGCGAAAGCGUGGGGAGCAAACAGG